rnacentral:rRNA from 1 species
UGGGGAAUUUUGGACAAUGGGCGCAAGCCUGAUCCAGCAAUGCCGCGUGAGUGAAGAAGGCCUUCGGGUUGUAAAGCUCUUUUGUCAGGGAAGAAACGGUGGUUCCUAAUACGGGCUGCUAAUGACGGUACCUGAAGAAUAAGCACCGGCUAACUACGUGCCAGCAGCCGCGGUAAUACGUAGGGUGCAAGCGUUAAUCGGAAUUACUGGGCGUAAAGCGUGCGCAGGCGGUUUUGUAAGUUUGUCGUGAAAGCCCCGGGCUCAACCUGGGAAUGGCGAUGAAGACUGCAAGGCUAGAAUCUGGCAGAGGGGGGUAGAAUUCCACGUGUAGCAGUGAAAUGCGUAGAGAUGUGGAGGAACACCGAUGGCGAAGGCAGCCCCCUGGGUCAAGAUUGACGCUCAUGCACGAAAGCGUGGGGAGCAAACA